GGGGCAAGAUCUCUUUGUUGUUGCAGCUAGCUCUCAAGGAUGAUUGAAAUGAAGAAGUAAGAAAGAAGAACUGAUAAGCAAGGAGUCACUUUCCGAUCAGUUAAUGAACCAUACAAGAAACACAUGGAGCAAUAUGUGAACAAGAUAAUGAAGAUGAUGAAGGAUGAAAAGCUAUUUGCUCCACAAGGAGGUCCAAUCAUCUUAGCUCAGAUUGAAAAUGAGUACAAUCAAAUCCAACUUGCAUAUAGAGAGUUGGGAGAUACAUAUGUGCAGUGGGCAGCAAAGCUAGCAGUUGGGCAGAAUAUUAGA